AGCAGACUGAAAGAAACUUCUUCUUUACCUCUGGUAGAACAACUGGAUCGGUGAAGGAGACUAAGCAGUGAAGCAGACUAAGUACUGAAGAGUUCCAGGUACCUGUCUGGAAGAGAAGAAGAACUACGUUCCCCAAGAGCCUUUUUGAGUACUGUUAUCAUUCCUGCUCAAGGGAGCAGAUAUAAGGGCGCAGGUCAUCUGACUCGUUCCUCUCUUCUCGUCUCGCCGUGUUCCCUGUCGGAUCGGCUCACUACUGCUGCUCCUGACUGCACACAAGGUUUCAGUGCUAGCCCCCCGUUCAGAAUCCAAAAGUCUGUUCUCAGAUAUCCUGGAACCUUCUCUUCUCUAGGCUGCACAGGCCCAGAUCACUCAGCCUGUCCCAUAGGAGAGGUGUUCCACCCCUGGGAUCAUUUCUGUG
ensembl:lncRNA